UACGAAGGGUGCAAGCGUUACUCGGAAUUACUGGGCGUAAAGCGUGCGUAGGUGGUGCGUUAAGUCUGUCGUGAAAGCCCCGGGCUCAACCUGGGAAUGGCGAUGGAUACUGGCGCGCUAGAGUGCGGUAGAGGAGAGUGGAAUUCCCGGUGUAGCAGUGAAAUGCGUAGAUAUCGGGAGGAACACCAGUGGCGAAGGCGACUACCUGGACCAGCACUGACACUGAGGCACGAAAGCUUGGGGAGCGAACGGG
rnacentral:rRNA from 1 species